CCCCAAGUUUCUGUUAUUCCUUCUUUUAUUGGAGCUGGUUUCACCCUGCUCUGUCACACCCUAGGGCGAGUCUGUCACACCCUAGGGCGAGUCUGUCACGCAGGCAGAUCAGCUGACUUGAGAGAUUGCUUGCCCUUGGAACACUGAACCAUGUCUUGGGUCCCAGAAAGGGCUGGUCAGCUGAUCUGAAUAGCCCUAAGCUGCUUUUAUGUUUGUUUCUCUUGCUCUCUCUGUUCUGGUGCUGGGAAUCAAUGAAGCCAGGACCUUGUGCAUGCUAGACACCCAGCCCCACCAGAAGCCCCCUGGUGGAAGUACUGGCCCUGAGAAACAAGGCUGGAUGGACUUAUACUUCAGAAAUGACCCCAAAUUUUAUGCAGACCUUACCAGUUGCAGAAUGAAG